AACGAACGCUGGCGGCGCGCCUAAUACAUGCAAGUCGAGCGAGAAGACGUAGCAAUACGUUUGUAAAGCGGCGAACGGGUGAGGAAUACAUGGGUAACCUACCCUCGAGUGGGGAAUAACUAGCCGAAAGGUUAGCUAAUACCGCGUACGCUCCUUGGACUUCGGUUCAGGGAGGAAAGCGAUACCGUGGGUAUCGCGCUCUUGGAUGGGCUCAUGUCCUAUCAGCUUGUUGGUGAGGAACGGCUCACCAAGGCUUCGACGGGUAGCUGGUCUGAGAGGACGAUCAGCCACACUGGCACUGCGACACGGGCCAGACUCCUACGGGAGGCAGCAGUAAGGAAUAUUGCGCAAUGGGCGAAAGCCUGACGCAGCGACGCCGCGUGGGGGAUGAAGGUCUUCGGAUUGUAAACCCCUUUCGGGAGGGAAGAGAGCUCAGGGCCGAAUAAGCUUUGAGUCCGACGGUACCUUGCGUAAGCCACGGCUAACUACGU
rnacentral:rRNA from 1 species